UCCCUGGUGGGCCAGUGGCUUAGACUCUGCACUCCCAAUGCAGGGGGCCCAGGUUCAAUCCCUGCUCAGAGAA
rnacentral:tRNA from 1 species